rnacentral:SRP_RNA from 1 species
CCGUGCUAGACGGGGAGGUAGCGGUGCCCUGUACCCGCAAUCCGCUGUAGCGGGGUUGAACUCCUGCCCGAGGGUUUUGCUUGUGGGGUCUGGUCCGGGCAAGCGGCGAGGAAGGUUGGGUCCUGCGCAAUAGAGGGCCAUGAACCCCGUCAGGUCCGGGAGGAAGCAGCGGUAAGUGGUUGACUCUAUGUGCCGCAGGGUUACCUGGCCUGAGCUGGCUGCGCGGGUUCCGCCUGGGAGCGUAAAUUCGAAGGCAGGUGCACGG